UUUAAAGUAAUAUGUCUUAUUGUUUAUGAAAAAUACUUCUCCUAUGCCUAAGGGAGAAGUGAAACAUUGUCAUGCAUUUUCAAAUUAUCAUCAAUAAAAUACAAUUUUUAUUCAUCCAUAUCUAUGUUGUUUUUACUUUUUGCUUUUUCAGAAAAUGGUGAUCACAAAAAACAUAAAUAAGCAAUCAUUUUUCCCAUAUCUGCAUAAUAUGUGUGUGCACUUCAUAUUUCUAAAUCAAAAUAUCAAAUUAUUAUGCAGGUUGCUUCUCAAAC
rnacentral:lncRNA from 1 species